rnacentral:lncRNA from 1 species
ACAAAUGGUCAUCUGGUCUUUAAUCCCAGGUUUACAUCAUAGAGUUUCAUGCAUAUUUAUUCACAUGUUACAACAUUCACAUCGACUAUCAUAUUUGUAAUUCAUUUACCUCAUCAAAUAUCUAAUAAAACACACCUUCCGCCGUCUGUCAUUUGGCCACAAUAUAUAUAUACACAUCUCAUACAUAUCUCACAUUAGCCAUUUGGCUUUACCACAUAUCCAUCUCAUACACGUUUCGCAUUAGCCAUUUGGCUUUACCUCAUAUCCGUCUCAUACACAUUUCGCAUUAGCCAUUCGGCUUCGCCACAUAUAUACACUUCUACGUUCAUCACAUUGGCCAUUCUACCUUAUCACAUGUAUGCAUGUUCGUAUUCAUCACAUUGGCCAUUCGGCCUUAUCACAUAUUUGCAUGCUCACGUUCAUCACAUUGGCCAUUCGGCCUUAUCACACAUAUGCAUGUUCACGUUCAUCACAUUGGCCAUUCGACCUUAUCACAUAUGCAUGUUCACGUUCAUCACAUUGGCCAUUCGGCCUUAUCACAUAUGCAUGUUCACAUUCAUCUCAUACAAUCCUAAUCAAAAUAUAAUUUUUCAUGUAUUCACAUCACAAUUAUCCAAAUAUACUUCACAUACCACAUAUACUUUCACGUAUACACUUUGUCUUGGCUGAAUCCACGUCUAUCAUUCUCCAAUGAAUAAUUCAAUUUCAUGCCAUACUAUCAUUUCAUAUUCGAAUACUUAUAAACUUACAAUUUCACAAAUUUUAAUAUCAAAGAUCCAUCUAACACUCAUAUAUCAUUUUACAAUAUCACAAUUUAGAAUUCACGUAUGGGUUUAAUCAAUAGCUUGUGAGCAGCCAAAACAAGUUUCAUCCAUGUUUUCAACAUAACCACAAUUCUCUACAAGCAGUUUUUCCUGAGCAACAGUCGCUAAAUUAUUUGUAACUGGGACUACGAAAUUCCAAAUUAUGUGCCGUUAAUUUUCCAUGAAAAUAGACUCGUAUAUCCUCUAUCCACAAAAUUUUCAAAAUUUUUGGUUUGGCCAAUAAAUACUAGAUUUUUCUUAAAAUUUCCCCUGUUUUACUGUUUGACUAAUCUGACCACUCUUCACUACAAAUCAAAUAUCUCAUUGUACAGAAUUCAAAAUGUGUUCUAUUUGAUUUCAUUUGAAACUAGACUCAUUAAGGAGUCUAAGCAUAUAAAUUUUAUCUUAUAACCAUUUCUGUACAAAUUAUAAUGAUUUUCUAAAAACAGAACAGGGGAUUUCGGAGUCGUUCCGACACUGUCUCACACAACUUUAAAUAUCUCUUUAUAGGAAAUUUCUUUGCUCACACAGUCUCUUUUACAAGAAACUAGACUAAUUAAGAUUUGAUUACAUAUUUUAUUCAGCCUAUAAUUCCACACCAACAAUUUAUGGUGAUUUUCUAAAACCACGUUACUGCUGCUGUCCUAAGCAAAUUAUUACAAUUUGCUCUUAAAUUUCCAAGUCCAAACACUUAUAAACUUACCAUUUGAGUUUAAAACAUAUCAUGACCACAUCAUAUCUUAUUAAAUCGACUCAUUAUGUCCUAUUAUGAUUGAAUUUACUCAACAUUUAAUCACUUAAAACUUACCUCGGAAGUGGUCGACGACUAGAUAUCCACGGCUAUUUGUUUACUUUCUCUUUUCCCCCAUCCGACUUUGAUCCUCUUUGCUCUUAAGCUUAAGUAAAACAAUAGAUUUGCUUAAGUACUUAACCAAUAUUAUUCACUUAACUAUCACAUUGGGCAAUCACAUAUCAUUUAAUCUAUAUCUAAAACAAUAGAUUUCAAUAUGUAUCAUAUUCGAUAAAACAUACCAUGACUCGAUUUCAUGCUUAUUUAAUUUAGCUAAUUUCAUAGCCGAUUAAUCACCUUACCCCAACAUUACUCAAUGCCGAAUAUUAACCCAACAUCACAAGCAUAAUCACCAUGAAACUUACCUUGAUACACAUUUUAUCCCAUUGCCGAAUACAUAUAUAUAUCACCAAACAAAUUUUUAUUCACAUCUCUAUAAUUGAUCAUAAUCGGACAUUAUAAACAAAUCAACUAGUUUAGCAUUCAAAUUCUUCUAAUCAUUCCUCAAUCACUUACUCAAUGAACAAUAAUCCAAGCACAUCAAAGCAUAGUCGAAUGUAUCAUUCUUCUUAAAUUCAUAUUCGAACACUCAAUUAAAUACUUACAAUUUAGCACUAAUUUGGCAUUUCAACAUAGCCAAUUGUCAUUAAGCAAUUAAGCCACAAAUAUUCAAUUUUACCAAGCUCAACUCAUCUAUAAUCAACCCUCAAUACACCUAAGCAUCAAAAACAACAUCAAAGAAAUACAAACAUCCAUGACCGAAUGUCAUCUUCAUAAAUUUACAAAAAUAUUUGCCAUGAGUUAGCUUCUAUACUUGAUGACCACUCCAAAUAUACAAAGACUUUCAAUGAAAGAGCAUUAACAUACCUCUUCCUAAACAUCAACCAACCCAUCAUGAAGCAAGAAAAUCCUCUUCUUCUUCCUUCCUCAAGUCACGGCAAUAGGGGGAGCAAGGAUGAGACAACUUUGUUUUCAUCACCCCUCCCUUUUUAUUACUUUAUUACUAACCUUUUAUUUUAUUAUUUCUAACAUAAAUCACUAACACAAAAAUGUUUAUAAUAGGCUUUAACCCAUAGCAUGGCCGGCCACUACUUGUCAUAGGUGGAAAUUUGACAUGCAAGCCCAUUAUUUUCAUAACAUGCACUAAUAGGUCCUUAUAGAUUAACCUAUCACCUUUUAAAAGUGCCACACAUAAGUCCUAUUAAUUAAAUUCACAUACAAUCGACUAAAUCGAAGCUUAAAACUUUCACACAUUUAUAUUCACAUAUUUUAGACAAUAAAUAUCAUAUUCAAAUACUUCGGUGACUCGGUUUAGCGGUCCCGAAACCACUUUCCGACUAGGGUCAAUUUGGGGCUGUCACAAACCCACUGAAAAAUUAAGGAAGCAGUGGUUUGAAAACUAAAAUAGAGACGAAAAAGGCAAAGACAAACUUGUUCUAAAGCUGAAAACCCUAAAAAAACCCACUGAAAUAGAAGUAGAUAAGAAUAGAUCAGAAAACUAAAAAAAGACAUGAAAAAGAAAAGACAAAGUUGUAGGAGUGACUCUCAGUUGCUCUUACGAAAAUUCUCUUCCUACUGUCCUGCGUGCGUGUUUUUGGCCUAUAGUGAAAAUUUUUGCUUCUAAUUGAUUGAUUCAAAUAUAUAUAUAAAUCAUAAUUAAUAUAAAAAUACAUAUAAAUUGUUAUGUUUAAUAUUUUAAUAUUUUUAUUAAAAAUAACAAUUUAACACUCAAUUUAACACUAAUUUGAAAAAAAUGUAAAUAUUAAAUGUCAAAUUUAUUAUUACCUAUAUAUUUUUAAUGCAAAUUUAUAAAUAAUUUUAUUGUUAGAAAAUUAAUAAAAUUUAUAUCUAAAAAUAUAAAAGAGAAAAUAACCUCAAAUUUUGAAUUUUAAAGAGAAAUGAAUAUUUAAAAUUAUUAUUUUUAAUUUUUAAUUUGAACUGAUAUUAUUUAAUUGAUUAAAUUGCAUCAAGCCUGCUUAUGGUGGAUCUGAUUUUUGAGCUUUGAAAUUAUAUUUAUUAGUUAAAUAAAGUUGAAACUAAUUCAAUAAAUUUUUCCUGCAAAAAGUUAUAACUUCUGUGGUUAAUUCUUUUAAAGUGGAAAUUCAAAGCACAUUAUACACUCUACACGAUUCAUGUUAUUUCCUCGCAUACCAGAUGCAGAAGAUGAAAACCCUGCAACAGGAUGACCUCUAUUUUCUCUCUUUUGUGCAGGUUCAUUAACCGUUAAUAUAUUGAUUCCCAAUGCAUUGAAGGAAAAAUUACUUUAUAUGGUAACCUUAAAGAUUAACUAU